rnacentral:rRNA from 1 species
CCUACGGGAGGCAGCAGUGAGGAAUAUUGGUCAAUGGACGCAAGUCUGAACCAGCCAUGCCGCGUGCAGGAUGACGGCUCUAUGAGUUGUAAACUGCUUUUGUACGAGGGUAAACGCAGAUACGCGUAUCUGUCUGAAAGUAUCGUACGAAUAAGGAUCGGCUAACUCCGUGCCAGCAGCCGCGGUAAUACGGAGGAUUCAAGCGUUAUCCGGAUUUAUUGGGUUUAAAGGGUGCGUAGGCGGUCGGAUAAGUUAGAGGUGAAAACCCGAGGCUCAACUUCGGAAUUGCCUCUGAUACUGGUCGGCUAGAGAGUAGUUGCGGGAGGCGGAAUGUAUGGUGUAGGGGGGAAAUGCUUAGAGAUCAUACAGAACACCGAUUGCGAAGGCAGCUUAACAGGCUACUUCUGACGUUGGGGCACGAAAGCGUGGGGAGCAAACAGGAUUAGAUACCCUGGUAGUC